rnacentral:misc_RNA from 1 species
AUGAACAAGUACGUGCGGGGGAGGGUUGUGCUGGCGCGUCCGCGCGCAUGUGCACGCCCGCCCUCGUCGUCCGUCCACUCACACCUGUGCACCUUGCUCGUCAGGUCGAGGGGUUCCCCCCCUUGGCCCGGCGCACUUUUCACACCACCUGUCUUAACCGGAUGUCAAUUGCGUAAACGCAACCGAAAAA